UGGUGUCUUCUGAGAGCCCUAGAAGACAGAUCCCCAGGACACAGUCCUGACUCCUGCCUUUGCCCCACCCCCCACCCCCCACCGCCAGUUAGUAAAAUAUGUGCCUGCGAUGAGCAAAUCCUUCAGAGAGGAACUGUCUAUUUCAAGCGAUUUUUGUCUCUGCAAAGGAGCCCAGAUUCUAGAAACUUUUGUGAGUUCCAGGAGAAAAGGGACGAUGAAUUAGAGGCACCAGCAAGGAAGGUCACUUGCAAGUUACCAAGACAAGAUCCUGAAGAGUGGCAUCUGACCCAGAGAGUUGGAGUACUGCUAACCAGACUCUCUCAGCACCCUGUGUAAGUCAGGAUACUCAUUAUAAAAAAGACGAGGCCAAGCACAUAAGCAGAACACGAGGGCCCCCUAUCCUGGGUCCUUCGCCCCCUCCAUCAAAUGUCAGGAAAGCUUAAUUGGUCAUUAGGAGGCUGACUAAAACUUUCAGCAGAAGGAAAAUAGCCUUGUGGACUAUUUAAUAUGGGUUACAGUGAGAACUAGUUACACCCCCUUGCUCCCUAGCAGGAAUGGAGACCCUACUGACCAGAUACUCCGGCCCCUAAAUUCAGUGUCUCUCUAUUGUAUAUUGUCAUCAACAGUGAAAAUACCUGCUUCUCUUUUUACCCAUUUUUCUAAGCUCACAAGACUUAGUUUUUCCCUUCUGUGACUCAUUAAUUUUAUCCUUUUAUUCAAGAAAUAUUUGUUGAACAUGAUUUACCAUGUGCCAAGUUCUAGGAAUGUAAAAGUGAACAAUACCCUGGAUACUUCCACACCACUGGCUUUACCACAAACAAGUUUCGAUAAAAAUCUAAAAACCCUUCUUUCUUUUUAAGGUGACUUUGGUAUAUUUAAUCUGAUCCAUUUAGGCCUUAAUACCAGAAUUCUGUGUAGCACUAUUACCUGACUUUCCUGAAUAGCUUAUUGCUUCAGCAGUAUCUUAACUUCCCAGAAGGCCUAGAAUAACUGAGUAUUUCUCACAUAUCCCUUAUAGUGUGUAGGGUAUGCCGUGCACACAGCAGGAAUGAAAUAUUUGCCUCUUUAAAGAGAUACCAUGUUUCCUACUAGCCAUAAGGGAAGAAGGGAGGCAGUUUUACUUAGUUUUACUUCAGAAAUUCCCCAACCAAUGGACCACAU
rnacentral:lncRNA from 1 species